rnacentral:misc_RNA from 1 species
CCAAUAGCGUAUAUUAAAGUUGUUGCAGUUAAAAAGCUCGUAGUUGAACUUCGGGGUCUACCCAUUGGUCAGGCUUAAUUGUCUGCACUGGUGAGAUGGAUCUCUACCUUCUGAGGAACUUUCAUGCCAUUUAUUUGGUGUGGUUGGAAAUCAGGACUGUUACUUUGAAAAAAUUAGAGUGUUUCAAGCAGACUAUCGUCUGAAUACAUUAGCAUGGAAUCAUGAAAUAGUACGGACUGAUUCUAUUUCGUUGGUUUCUAGGAUCACCGUAAUGAUUAAUAGGGAUAGUUGGGGGCAUUAGUAUUCAAUUGUCAGAGGUGAAAUUCUUGGAUUUAUUGAAGACUAACUACUGCGAAAGCAUUUGCCAAGGAUAUUUUCAUUAAUCAAGAACGAAAGUUAGGGGAUCGAAGACGAUCAGAUACCGUCGUAGUCUUAACCAUAAACUAUGCCGACUAGGGAUCGGACGAAGUUAAUUUAUAAUGACGCGUUCGGCACCUUACG